GCCCGUACCCUAAACCGACUCAGGUGGUCAGGUAGAGUAUACCGAGGCGUUCGAGUGAAUCGUGGUUAAGGAACUCGGCAAAAUUCCUCCGUAACUUCGGGAUAAGGAGGACCCCGUGACUUGCUCCCGCCGUGCGUGGGUGUUGGGUUGUGGGGUCGCAGAGAAUAGGGAGAAGCGACUGUUUAUCAAAAACACAGGUGCGUGCGAAGCCGUAAGGCGAUGUAUACGCACUGACGCCUGCCCGGUGCUGGAAGGUUAAGAGGAACCGUUAACAUUCUUUAUGGGUGUGAAGCGGUGAAUUUAAGCCCCAGUAAACGGCGGUGGUAACUAUAACCAUCCUAAGGUAGCGAAAUUCCUUGUCGGGUAAGUUCCGACCUGCACGAAUGGCGUAACGACUUCUCCGCUGUCUCAACCGCGAACUCGGUGAAAUUGCAGUACGAGUAAAGAUGCUCGUUUCGCGCAGAAGGACGGAAAGACCCCGGGACCUUUACUAUAGCUUGGUAUUGGUGUUCGCUUGGACUUGUGUAGGAUAGGUGGGAGACUGUGAAGCUGCCGCGCCAGCGGUGGUGGAGUCGUCGUUGAAAUACCAUUCUGGUUUAAGCGGUCACCUUAACCUUGGCCCGUGAUCCGGGUUGGGGACAGUGCCUGGUGGGUAGUUUAACUGGGGCGGUUGCCUCCUAAAAUGUAACGGAGGCGCUCAAAGGUUCCCUCAGCCUGGUUGGUAAUCAGGUGGCGAGUGCAAGUGUACAAGGGAGCUUGACUGUGAGACCGACGGGUCGAGCAGGUGCGAAAGCAGGAACUAGUGAUCCGGCCAUGGCACGUGGGUGCGUGGUCGCUCAACGGAUAAAAGGUACCCCGGGGAUAACAGGCUGAUCUUGCCCAAGAGUCCAUAUCGACGGCAUGGUUUGGCACCUCGAUGUCGGCUCGUCGCAUCCUGGGGCUGGAGUCGGUCCCAAGGGUUGGGCUGUUCGCCCAUUAAAGCGGUACGCGAGCUGGGUUCAGAACGUCGUGAGACAGUUCGGUCCCUAUCCUCUGUGCGCGCAGGAAAUUUGAGGAGGGCCGUCCCUAGUACGAGAGGACCGGGAUGGACGAACCUCUGGUGUGCCAGUUGUACCGCCAGGUGCAUGGCUGGUUAGCUACGUUCGGAAGGGAUAACCGCUGAAAGCAUCUAAGCGGGAAGCCUGCUCCAAGAUGAGGUUUCCACGCCCCCCCGUGGGUGAGAGGCCCCCGCCAGACGAGCGGGUUGAUAGGCCAGAGGUGGAAGCACCGCGAGGUGCUCGCGAGCCGACUGGUACUAAUGGGCCAACACUAAACAAC
rnacentral:rRNA from 1 species